CAACUCCUCCCUCUCCCUCGGUCUCGCCUCUCCUAUCGUUCGAUGUCGCUCAAUCCUCUCUAGGGUUCGCCGCCCGCCGCCGUCCCUCGCCGUCCUGCUCCGCUGUCGCCCCUCCCUCCACCUACCUCGCCCCUGAUCUAGGGUUCGCCUCCCGCCGCCGCCGCCCCCGCCGCUCUGCUUCGCUGUUGCAUGUCCCUCCGCCUGCCUCGCCCCCUCCCCUACACUCACCCCUGCGGCCCUGCCCGAUCUGGAUCUGGAUGAGGUGUUGCCUCUCGUUCCUCUCAUCGCGUCCCUUGUGCCAGCCAUGGAAGAAGGGGAGGGAGAGCAAAGCGGACAGCGGUGGCCAUGUGCCAGCGUUGGCAGGACGAAGAUGUGUGAAUCAAGGAGUCCCUGCAUCUACCCGCGACCCUAGAAUAGCCGCUACCGCUGUGACCUUUCUCCAUGCCGUGAGCUUCGAGGAGUCUGGCGGCGCCAUCACGCCGGCCUCUGUCCAAGAGGUCAUCGCGCUCAACGGGCCCUCACUCCUCGGCUCCGCCUGCGGAGGUCGUCGACGCCAUCGCAGGGUGCCGCUUUGAGGCCGGGGUUGAAGCAGCCACCGAGGAGGCCAUCUUGACGCAGAUGUUGCAGGCACUCCUGACGUGCAUGCGCUCCCCUGCAAUUGACCAUUGCUAUUUAAUUUAUUCAGGGCUCCCCUGCAACUCCUAGAGCAAGUUAAUGAAAUUGAAACUUUCUAAAUUUUUCUAACAUGUGGGAACAAAGAUUAUAUAAGUUAAAAGAAUAACCUUGAUGAAAUCUCAGCGGUCAAUGAAAACACCGUAUUCUACUAUAUGUCAUUUCUGCUCUUGAGCGGCCUUUGUAGUUUUUCAUAACAAGAACUCACAACACUGUACUUCAUAAGUCACAAAGUUAUCAUCCUGAAAAAUAGUUAUGAUUGUGUGCAUCACUUACGCUUGAGACCGAAGGUCUUUCUCUCUUUUCCGAAAAAAGUCAUCCUGAAAAAUAGUGAUUUGUGUGCUCUCGUUAAUGAUGAUUCAUCAUGUUACCAUUCAUACAUCCUUGUUUGGUUUAGUGGAGCCAUUUUUUCAAUCACCAUGACAAGUAGAAUUACCAACUGAAACUGAGAGAACCGCUGCAAACCUGGUGGUAAUUGUAGUGGUGCUCGUAGCUUAUCAUCAAUCUGCCAUUAUUAUUUGUGUGUAUGUGUUCAAAACGACCACUCUAGGGAUUCUGGAUUUGCUCCUGGCUGCGCCGUCGGGUUUCUUGCGGUUUUGUUUCAUUUGAGUUCUGCUGUUCAUACAUAGUCUAAUUUGCCAACAUCGGUCUUUUAAUAAUGCUUUCAACAUGGACAAUCUGAUGCGAGCAAGUUUCUUGCCCUAUCCAUGCGUCAACCAGCAAUUUCUUGAUCCAGGUGCCACAUGGCCUAUAGGGAAGCAGAAGGGCGUCAACAUCGGCACCGGUCGCCGCAAUGUGGAAGGAAACAGGCGGGUGCUCAGGGACAUCGGCAACGUCAACGCAAGGAUUGAAUCAUGUUCUAUUUUUCGUUCCUCCAUUCUUUGUACUGAACUGAAUCUGGUCUUGUUCGCUGCAACAACAAGAUCCAGCUGCCGUCGGGAUCAAUCGCCCAAUCUCCAGAAGCUUGGGGGCCCAGCUCUUGAAGAAGGCUCAGGCCAAUCCAUCUAAGAAACAAGGUGGGGUUAGUACAAGGUCAUGGAGAAACUAUGCCUACCAGGAGAAGGUACGCAACACAUUUUGCUGAACCUAUGCCUACUAAGGUCAGGGCCUCCUCUCCUCUUUCCCAUAGGAAAUCAAAUCCUCGCUAAUUAUGAUAUUACAUAUAAUUUUUUGGCAACUCCUAAUAAUCUUUUGCAUUCUUUUAGGGACCAAAAAAUUUCAACAUCACAUGCAGUAAACAAAGGAUCAUUUUCCACAUUCUGUUUUCUUCUUGACAUUAUAUUAGCUGUAUGAAUCCCUUUUGCAAUGAUAUUAGCUUGUGGCUUUCCAAAUGCAAGUCAUGCCAGUUGUUCUUCCUCUAGAAAAUGCAAGGAUUUCUGUCAUUUUCAUCCAUGCCCGUGGGAAAGAAGUGUUGCAACUAUAAGUAAUCGAAUGUAUCUCCUAAAUACGAAGAAGAUACGAGAAAGAAGACUCACUGAUACACGGCUUCAGAGGUAAAUUUCCUUGACUUUGAAUAAUAUAUUUUGCGACUUGGCUGUAUUAAUUGUUGUUCUGAGAUGAUUCAUUUUACCUUAAAAAAUAUUGUCCUUCAGGUGUGACAUCUUCGGCACUACAAAUGGAUGAUUGUUUAUGUGUGUAUUACAGUAGUUUUCAAGUAGAUCUCCCAUUCUGUUAGUGCCACUUCUAGACAACACAUUGCUUUAUCACUUGCUUUUCUGCUUACUUGCUUAGAUAUUAUAGCAGUACACUAUAGGGCCCAAAGCAUUACCUGUCAUCAAACUGGCUAAUAAUAGAACUUUGUUCAGUAAUGGCAAACUAGAGGAAGGAAUCGAGAGAAAGACAUGCUAUGAUAUACACGCCUUUAAUUUCAAGGCAUGUAUGAACUGGAUCAAGGCACAAUUGGUUUUGAGUCGUUCGGUAUGAACUGGUUGAAGGCAAUUGUUUUGAGUCGUUCCAUACUUAGAUCCACCGAACACACCUCCAUGAGCACAUCUGUCAUUUGAUCUAGGUCCCCGUACAUGUACACGUUGCCCCUUGGCCAAGGUUCACAUAUUUUUUUAAUUAAAUAUGUGCUGCAAACUCACCAUUAUAUCUAUGGACAACAUAGCCUAGGAUGUCCUCCAGAUUUGAUCUACUUUGCAAAAUAUGUAGCUAUGACAUAUAUAAUAUUCAGAGGAUAUCUCUCACUAUUGUCAAAAAAUUAUUCGAGAAAAGUAUAGUCCGAAAUUUCUAUGAUAGAUUUUUGUUAGAUACACAAAUAUGUGCGUUUUUGUCCCUCUUUUUACCUAUGAUGAAGAACCGAUGUAGAGCUUCUUAUCACUUUUUUUAACUUUUAGAAUGGACAUAUCGAUACGGAGACAAGGAAAUACACAGAUUUUAAAACACUCAUCAGUUCAAAUAUUACUUUGCCAAAGAUCUGCUGGGAAACAUCAUAGCUGGGUGACAAAGGUUAUCCCUAUUGUUAUUCCAUAUAGAUCUUUUGCUUAUCUGUCAUUAUAGAUCAUGUUUUGUUGGAUACUGAAAGUAUUACGUUCGGUGUACAUAGCUAAUGUGCAUGAUUUUAGUUUGUGAGUCAUCCAUAAUUUUUGCAACCUUGGAAGUUAUAUUAUGUUGUUGUCUUAUACUUCAAAAUAGCAGUUUGGACUAUUUAACAAGAAAAAUAAAACAUAUAGCUGCACGCAAAAAAUUAUUUAUUUUACGAAGUAAUCUUGUAUUAUGCCAAAUAUUUAGUGACAGUUAUUUAUCACAUGAAGGUAUUGAAAACUAGAGAACAGAAAAAGCUUAUAGUCAUCACCAGGAAACAGUUAUCAUAGAUGUUGAUGUUAGAAUCUUAGGGUUUUCGGUCUACCCCCUAAUUCCUCUGCGCUUAUCCGUGGUGCCGCUCACAAUUCGCAUAUCUGAGGCUAGGGGGUAGGGACCUUCUUAUACUGUCUUUCCAAAGAGUCCACCUCUUAUACAGAUAUAAGAUUCCUAGUCUUUUCCACUAGUUUCCGGGAUAGAGUCCAGAUCAAAUUACCAACCACGAUCAUAUUUGUCUGUUUGACGGAUUCUACCCGUUUUGUCCCCGGGGCACACGCUUGUGAGCAACGCGCCAUAAUAGAGUGUAAAUUCCUCUAAUUAUGUAGAUCAACAUUAGGGCUAUAAUCUAACUAUAUGAUCUAGCUCCUUCCAAUCUUCAGUGUACCCGGGUAGUCAUUCCAAUAUAAAUAGUAUAUUGUAUUCCACUGAUAAUCGACCAGCUUCCUUAAGCAUAUGUUACUUAAGUACAUUCCAACAAGUGAUAAUUUUCCAUGCUAAACAUGUAAAACAAUUCCAUGUACAAAUACAUGUAUAAUUCCAUAAUGAGGUAUUCCGGAUAUUUAACAAUUCCAAGUAAUUUGAAUAUAGUUGCAGGACGCAUAAUUCCAACAGUUGAUGCUGUCGGUGAUAGGAGAAAAGUAAUUACUUUCAUCGGAGGCCUUGAUUUAUGUGGUAGACGAUACGACAUACCUAGCUUCUCAUGUAACAGUUACUCGAGUCUAAUUUUUUACAGGAGUAGGAAACUUAUGGCAGAUGAUGCCUGUGCCCCAAGGGAACCAUGGCAUGACUUGCAUUUGAAAUUUGAUGGUCCAACAGCUUAUGACAUUAUGCAGAAUUGUUGGCUGAAGGCAUCGAAACGCCAUGGCAAUACUGAGAAAUAUCCUCUGAAUAUUCCGGAGAUGGACCCAUGAUCCAGAUUUGGAAACAUUGAUGGAUGGAUAAAUUUGAGGAUUUGAUCCAUUAUUAGCUAAUUAUAUAGCUUAUAAUCUUAUAGCUAAUGACACAAGUGCUCUGUUUUAAAAAAAUUAGUGGAAGAAGUACUUAUCUCUGUCUCUACUUUGUCGGUGACAAGUUCAACUUUUUCAUAUUGAUGGAUAAAGUUGUGUUGGUUU